rfam:Lachnobacterium bovis strain S1b genome assembly, contig: IE07DRAFT_scaffold00002.2
AAUAACUUAUUUCUUGAGAAGUAAAAUGCGUAAUAUUUUAUAUGUUUUUUAAAUAUUAUAAAGUGCUUCCUUUAAUACUCCGAAUAGCAUGUUCCAAAUGCACUACAACAACAUGUUAUAAGCUCGGUAAAGGCGGCUGAGAGCCAUCCUAACACAUAUAGGUGAGGAAAUGCGAACUAGAGGUAGUCGAGUGGAUGAUAGGCCGGAAGUCUAUAAA